rnacentral:rRNA from 1 species
UUAAGCGACUAAGCGUACACGGUGGAUGCCCUGGCAGUCAGAGGCGAUGAAGGACGUGCUAAUCUGCGAUAAGCGUCGGUAAGGUGAUAUGAACCGUUAUAACCGGCGAUUUCCGAAUGGGGAAACCCAGUGUGUUUCGACACACUAUCAUUAACUGAAUCCAUAGGUUAAUGAGGCGAACCGGGGGAACUGAAACAUCUAAGUACCCCGAGGAAAAGAAAUCAACCGAGAUUCCCCCAGUAGCGGCGAGCGAACGGGGAGGAGCCCAGAGCCUGAAUCAGUGUGUGUGUUAGUGGAAGCGUCUGGAAAGGCGUGCGAUACAGGGUGACAGCCCCGUACACAAAAAUGCACAUACUGUGAGCUCGAUGAGUAGGGCGGGACACGUGGUAUCCUGUCUGAAUAUGGGGGGACCAUCCUCCAAGGCUAAAUACUCCUGACUGACCGAUAGUGAACCAGUACCGUGAGGGAAAGGCGAAAAGAACCCCGGCGAGGGGAGUGAAAAAGAACCUGAAACCGUGUACGUACAAGCAGUGGGAGCCUCUUAAUGGGGUGACUGCGUACCUUUUGUAUAAUGGGUCAGCGACUUAUAUUCUGUAGCAAGGUUAACCGAAUAGGGGAGCCGAAGGGAAACCGAGUCUUAACUGGGCGUUAAGUUGCAGGGUAUAGACCCGAAACCCGGUGAUCUAGCCAUGGGCAGGUUGAAGGUUGGGUAACACUAACUGGAGGACCGAACCGACUAAUGUUGAAAAAUUAGCGGAUGACUUGUGGCUGGGGGUGAAAGGCCAAUCAAACCGGGAGAUAGCUGGUUCUCCCCGAAAGCUAUUUAGGUAGCGCCUCGUGAAUUCAUCUCCGGGGGUAGAGCACUGUUUCGGCAAGGGGGUCAUCCCGACUUACCAACCCGAUGCAAACUGCGAAUACCGGAGAAUGUUAUCACGGGAGACACACGGCGGGUGCUAACGUCCGUCGUGAAGAGGGAAACAACCCAGACCGCCAGCUAAGGUCCCAAAGUCAUGGUUAAGUGGGAAACGAUGUGGGAAGGCCCAGACAGCCAGGAUGUUGGCUUAGAAGCAGCCAUCAUUUAAAGAAAGCGUAAUAGCUCACUGGUCGAGUCGGCCUGCGCGGAAGAUGUAACGGGGCUAAACCAUGCACCGAAGCUGCGGCAGCGACACUAUGUGUUGUUGGGUAGGGGAGCGUUCUGUAAGCCUGUGAAGGUGUACUGUGAGGUAUGCUGGAGGUAUCAGAAGUGCGAAUGCUGACAUAAGUAACGAUAAAGCGGGUGAAAAGCCCGCUCGCCGGAAGACCAAGGGUUCCUGUCCAACGUUAAUCGGGGCAGGGUGAGUCGACCCCUAAGGCGAGGCCGAAAGGCGUAGUCGAUGGGAAACAGGUUAAUAUUCCUGUACUUGGUGUUACUGCGAAGGGGGGACGGAGAAGGCUAUGUUGGCCGGGCGACGGUUGUCCCGGUUUAAGCGUGUAGGCUGGUUUUCCAGGCAAAUCCGGAAAAUCAAGGCUGAGGCGUGAUGACGAGGCACUACGGUGCUGAAGCGACAAAUGCCCUGCUUCCAGGAAAAGCCUCUAAGCAUCAGGUAACAUCAAAUCGUACCCCAAACCGACACAGGUGGUCAGGUAGAGAAUACCAAGGCGCUUGAGAGAACUCGGGUGAAGGAACUAGGCAAAAUGGUGCCGUAACUUCGGGAGAAGGCACGCUGAUAUGUAGGUGAAGCGACUUGCUCGUGGAGCUGAAAUCAGUCGAAGAUACCAGCUGGCUGCAACUGUUUAUUAAAAACACAGCACUGUGCAAACACGAAAGUGGACGUAUACGGUGUGACGCCUGCCCGGUGCCGGAAGGUUAAUUGAUGGGGUUAGCGGUAACGCGAAGCUCUUGAUCGAAGCCCCGGUAAACGGCGGCCGUAACUAUAACGGUCCUAAGGUAGCGAAAUUCCUUGUCGGGUAAGUUCCGACCUGCACGAAUGGCGUAAUGAUGGCCAGGCUGUCUCCACCCGAGACUCAGUGAAAUUGAACUCGCUGUGAAGAUGCAGUGUACCCGCGGCAAGACGGAAAGACCCCGUGAACCUUUACUAUAGCUUGACACUGAACAUUGAGCCUUGAUGUGUAGGAUAGGUGGGAGGCUUUGAAGUGUGGACGCCAGUCUGCAUGGAGCCGACCUUGAAAUACCACCCUUUAAUGUUUGAUGUUCUAACGUUGGCCCCUAAUCGGGGUUGCGGACAGUGUCUGGUGGGUAGUUUGACUGGGGCGGUCUCCUCCUAAAGAGUAACGGAGGAGCACGAAGGUUGGCUAAUCCUGGUCGGACAUCAGGAGGUUAGUGCAAUGGCAUAAGCCAGCUUGACUGCGAGCGUGACGGCGCGAGCAGGUGCGAAAGCAGGUCAUAGUGAUCCGGUGGUUCUGAAUGGAAGGGCCAUCGCUCAACGGAUAAAAGGUACUCCGGGGAUAACAGGCUGAUACCGCCCAAGAGUUCAUAUCGACGGCGGUGUUUGGCACCUCGAUGUCGGCUCAUCACAUCCUGGGGCUGAAGUAGGUCCCAAGGGUAUGGCUGUUCGCCAUUUAAAGUGGUACGCGAGCUGGGUUUAGAACGUCGUGAGACAGUUCGGUCCCUAUCUGCCGUGGGCGCUGGAGAACUGAGGGGGGCUGCUCCUAGUACGAGAGGACCGGAGUGGACGCAUCACUGGUGUUCGGGUUGUCAUGCCAAUGGCACUGCCCGGUAGCUAAAUGCGGAAGAGAUAAGUGCUGAAAGCAUCUAAGCACGAAACUUGCCCCGAGAUGAGUUCUCCCUGACUCCUUGAGAGUCCUGAAGGAACGUUGAAGACGACGACGUUGAUAGGCCGGGUGUGUAAGCGCAGCGAUGCGUUGAGCUAACCGGUACUAAUGAACCGUGAGGCUUAACCUU